rnacentral:tRNA from 2 species
GCCGGAUUAUUUCAGUGGUAGAAUGCAUCAUUCGUACUGAUGAGACGACAGUUCGAUUCUGUCAUCCGGCUC